CGCAAGGGGAGUGGCAGACGGGUGAGUAACACGUGGGAACAUGCCCAAAGGUACGGAAUAUUCUCGGGAAACUGGGAGCAAUACCGUAUGUGCCCGAAAGGGGAAAGAUUUAUCGCCUUUGGAUUGGCCCGCGUUGGAUUAGCUAGUUGGUGGGGUAAAAGCCUACCAAGGCGACGAUCCAUAGCUGGUCUGAGAGGACGACCAGCCACACUGGGACUGAGACACGGCCCAGACUCCUACGGGAGGCAGCAGUGGGGAAUCUUGGACAAUGGGCGCAAGCCUGAUCCAGCCAUGCCGCGUGAGUGAUGAAGGCCCUAGGG
rnacentral:rRNA from 1 species